UUCGGGGUGUCAGCCCGUCGCACUUUCAGCUCGAGAACAUUAGAAACGAACAGCACGGAUUGUUUUCUUCCUGAUCAAUCGCAAGCAAUGCUUGCCAGGGGACGUCCGUGAUACUUACUGUGCAAAUGAAGGGUGACUAAAGCAGUCAAACGACAUGAAUUAGAAAGCAUGGGAUAACAAGGAGCAGCCUACGGGCUACCGUUUCGGCUUUUGUUGGUUUUAACAGUCUGUGGGAGUUAUGGGGUCGCAAGCCCAGCUGUCACGGACCCCGUCCGCCAGUCUUCUGGGUGGCUACGCGCUUCCAGACUUGUGAUUCCAGGAAUGAAGGAGGGUUGUUCGGGGGAGAACGUACUUGGCGUGAGAGGUGAAAUUCUUAGACCGCUCGAAGACGAACUACAGCGAAGGCAUUCUCCAGGAUACCUUCCUCAAUCAAGAACCGGAGUGUGGAGAUCGAAGAUGAUUAGAUACCAUUGUGUCC
rnacentral:rRNA from 1 species